AAAUUACCCACUCCCGGCACGGGGAGGUAGUGACGAAAAAUAACGAUACGGGACUCAUCCGAGGCCCGUAAUCGGAAUGAGUACACUUUAAAUCCUUUAACGAGGACCCAUUGGAGGGCAAGUCUGGUGCCAGCAGCCGCGGUAAUUCCAGCUCCAAUAGCGUAUAUUAAAGUUGUUGCGGUUAAAAAGCUCGUAGUUGAAUCUGUGUGUCACGAUGUUGGUUCACCGCUCGCGGUGUUUAACUAGCAUGCCGUGAGACGUCCUACCGGUGGGCUUAGCUCUUCGGGGCGGUCCAACUAAUAUCCCAUCGCGGUGCUCUUUACUGAGUGUCGAGGUGGGCCGGUACGUUUACUUUGAACAAAUUAGAGUGCUUAAAGCAGGCUAUUUUCGCCUGAAUACUGUGUGCAUGGAAUAAUGGAAUAGGACCUGCGGUUCUAUUUUGUUGGUUUUCGGAACCCCGAGGUAAUGAUUAAUAGGGACNGAUGGGGGCAUUCGUAUUGCGACGUUAGAGGUGAAAUUNUUGGAUCG
rnacentral:rRNA from 1 species